AGGACUGAGCUUUUGCUUAGCACUGUGUAUUUUAAAUCAUCACUAAGCAUGUAUCUGUUGGCGCCAACCACACACUGCUGGGGAAUGCACCUUCAGUAAACCCCCCUUUAGUACUGGUUGUGCAACCGGUAUUACUAUUUCGGUACUAAAGAGGGUCUAUUUAGUAUCGGGUCAAAUAACCGGUACUAAAGGGGUUUAGUACCGGUUGCUUAUACCACUGCUCUAGCUUCCAAAAGCGCAUGCUUCUCCAAGAAUCACAAUCACAAAUUCCUUAUGCGCACACGGAUUUCACAAGAAUCAAAAAAAAUCACAAUCACUCACAGUAAGAAUCACAAUCAUAGAUUUCACAAGAAUCACAUCACAAAUCACAAGAAUACAUUUCACAAGAAUCACUACCACACAUUUCACAAGAAUCAUAUAAAGAAUUAAAAUUACAGAGUUCACACGAGAGCUUCACCUACGCCGUCGGGCCUCCCACUGUGCCUCCUCACCCACUUGCCAGCAAACACCGUCGGGCCUCCUCACCCGCUCGUCACAGCAGUGGCCGGCGC
rnacentral:lncRNA from 1 species